rnacentral:rRNA from 1 species
UGACCUCAAAUCAGGUAGGGACACCCGCUGAACUUAAGCAUAUCAAUAAGCGGAGGAAAAGAAAAUAACAAUGAUUCCCUUAGUAACUGCGAGUGAAGAGGGACAAGCUUAAAUUUUAAAUCUGUCGGGUUUUACCUGAUCGAGUUGUAAUUUGAAGAAGCGUUUUCUGCGUAUUUGGUCAGCCCAAGUCCUAUUGAAUGAGGCAUCUUGGAGGGUGAUAAUUCCGUCCGGUUGAUCAUUGCGUUUUAUGAUACGCUUUCUAAGAGUCAAGUUGUUUGGGAUUGCAGCUUAAAAUGGGAGGUAAAUUUCUCCUAAGGCUAAAUAACGGCGAGAGACCGAUAGCGAACAAGUACCGUGAGGGAAAGAUGAAAAGAACUUUGAAAAGAGAGUUAAACAGUACGUGAAAUUGUUGAAAGGGAAACGAUUGAAGCCAGUCGUACCUAUGGGUAAUCAGCCUUUUGGGUGUGAUUUUGUGGAGCGUGAGGAGUUAAACGCCUUCAUGCCUGCAUAUUCGUGCACUUUGGGUGUACUUGCCCGUGUGUAAGUUAACAUCAAUUUUGGUGGUCAUAAAAUGGCUGGAGGAAUGUAGCUUUGAUCUUGUAUUGAAGUGUUAUAGCCUUCGGUAGAUGUGACGGUCGGGAUUGAGGAUUGCAACGGAUACCCUUCGGGGCUACCUGUCUGAUCUCUGAUUGUUGCUCUGGUGCCGAAAGCUUGCUUACGGUUAUCAUAGUCGAUGUUCAAUAGGUUAGAAUUGGUUAAAUUCGUUAAGGAUGUUGACGUAAUGGCUUUAAACGACCCGUCUUGAAACACGGACCAAGGAGUCUAACAUAUA